rnacentral:rRNA from 1 species
UUCCGGUUGAUCCCGCCGGACCCCACUGCUAUCGAGGUGGGACUAAGCCAUGCUAGUCGAACGCACAGAACUAUGUCUGUGAGUGGCACACUGCUCAGUAACACGUAGCUAACCUACCCUUAGGACGUGGACACCCCCGAGAAAUUGGGGCUAAUCCGCGAUAGAUGUGAUGUCCUGGAAUGGUAUCACGUCUAAAGGUAUCCCAUACAUGUUUGUUAUACGCCUAAGGAUGGGGCUGCGGCUGAUCAGGCUGUUGGUGAGGUAAUGGCUCACCAAACCAUUGACCAGUACGGGCCAUGAGAGUGGUAGCCCGGAGAUGGACACUGAGACAAGGGUCCAGGCCCUACGGGGCGCAGCAGGCGCGAAACCUCCUCAAUGCACUAACGUGUGAAGGGGUUACCUCGAGUGCUACCUGAUGAAGGUGGCUUUUCCUUGGUCUAAAUAGCCUUGGGAAUAAGAGGGGGGCAAGACUGGUGUCAGCCGCCGCGGUAACACCAGCCCCUCGAGUGGUGGGGAUGAUUAUUUGGCCUAAAGCGUCCGUAGCCGGUCAGGUAAGUUUCCCGUUAAAUCCAACGUCUCAAGCGUUGGACUGCGGGAAAUACUGCCUGACUAGAGAGUGGGAGAGGUCAGCGGUAUUCCGGGGGUAGGGGCGAAAUCCUUGAUCCCCGGAGGACCACCAGUGGCGAAGGCUGCUGACUAGAACACGUCUGACGGUCAGGGACGAAAGCUGGGGGAGCAAACCGGAUUUGAUACCCGGGUAGUCCCAGCUGUAAACUAGUGCAAACUCAGUGAUGCAUUGGCUUGUGGCCAAUGCAGUGCUGCAGGGAAGCCGUUAAGUUUGCCGCCUGGGAAGUACGUACGCAAGUAUGAAACUUAAAGGAAUUGGCGGGGGACGCACCACAAGGGG